rnacentral:rRNA from 1 species
AGGACGAACGCUGGCGGCGUGCCCAACACAUGCAAGUCGAACGGACUGAUUCCCUUCGGGGAUGAAAGUUAGUGGCGGACGGGUGAGUAACGCGUGAGCAACCUGCCUUUCAGAGGGGAAUAACGUUUGGAAACAGACGCUAAUACCGCAUAACGCAUAGGUGUCGCAUGGCAUUUAUGCCAAAGGAGCAAUCCGCUGAAAGAUGGGCUCGCGUCCGAUUAGAUAGUUGGUGGGGUAACGGCCUACCAAGUCGACGAUCGGUAGCCGGACUGAGAGGUUGAACGGCCACAUUGGGACUGAGACACGGCCCAGACUCCUACGGGAGGCAGCAGUGGGGGAUAUUGCACAAUGGGCGGAAGCCUGAUGCAGCAACGCCGCGUGAGGGAAGACGGUUUUCGGAUUGUAAACCUCUGUCUUUGGUGACGAAGAAAUGACGGUAGCCGAGGAGGAAGCCACGGCUAACUACGUGCCAGCAGCGGC